CUCACAGCGAUUCUGCAUUUCAGCGACAGCACCGGCGGCAAUUCUCCGGCGAUAUUCAGUCCCAGGCGCCGCCACGGACACGGCCCGCGGUCGAGUACAGGAGUACCUGGCGGCGGAGGCGCCGCGGGAUCGCGUGGAGCUCGAGCCGCCUUCCUCCAGCACAGGAUGCUGAGGUUGCGCGCAUGGGAGGACCUCAAAAGUUGAAAACACAUGUUUCCAUUUGGCGUGCUUAUUAUCCUCUGUAACUGGUUCAAAGGGCAUAGUGCUGCUCCAGCGUGAUUUGGUACUUUCCACAAGGCAUAUUGAUUGCUACAUGCAUAAUCUUCAUUAAUGUGUGUCUAGUUCCUGGAUGGUAGCAAAGUGGCACGGUUGUGGACUGAACAUUGUAGACGACAGAGAACGCCCUGAAAUCUAGAUAUCUCAUGAGCUCUGACAGUAAAAGAUAUCAAACAGAAAGAGGUAGGCGAGAGCAACUGCAGGCCAGUCAAACCUUCUCAGACCAAUAGCAGAUUUCAAAGGCAUUUAAGUUGUUCCUCUGUUUUCCGUGACCAAUUUGUUUCUCUUUGGUGCAAAACAUGGUACUCAUGCUGGUGGUUGCAAAUGGGCGUCAGGCCUCGAACUAUGUUGCUGAAAGAUUUUGGUCCAACAGACCAACACACCACGUGAGAACUCCAAUGAGUGCUGCCAUGGAAAGCGGGAAAUGCCAGUUUCCAAGAUCCAACGUCGUUUGAGAAAAGAAAAAAAUGGUGAUGAGUAGUUUCUCUCUGUCUCCUUUCAUCAAAAGGGUAUGCAUCUAAGCAUGUCAAUCGAAUGUUUAGAUACUAAUUAUGAGUAUGAAAUAUAGGUU